CGGGCGCUCCCGAGGAGCCAGGUGGAGGGGUGGUCCGCAGCAACCUGGAGGGUGACUGAAGACCUCAUGAUGCUACUUCAUCUUGUUUAUUUCUAAUUCAAGGGUCAAGACUUCGAUCCACAGCUGGAGAGAAAACUUAUUUUGGACUCAUUGAGAGAUAAAUAAUUCCUAGCUAUGCACCUCUGCCAUGCUGUCCUGCCUUGCAGCCAAGGAGCAAUGGGCUGAACCUCUACAUACUAAGAGCCAAAAAUGAAACUUUCCUCCUGUAUGUUGCAAGGGUCAGAGCAAUGCGGAAAGAGACUGAGACAAGGACUAAGUUAUAGUUAGAAGUAAGAAGUUCUGGUGGCUGUCAUAUAGAAGGGCAACAAUAAAUAAAAAUUGUGUUCCUGGUACCAAAAAGAAAAUUAUUAUU